ensembl:lncRNA ETS2-AS1 ETS2 antisense RNA 1
AGACUUGCAUGGGAUUCCUUCAGUGCAGAAUUCUGGAAUGUUGAUGAACACCAGGACAUCAACUGGGAGUGGCCCAGAAGCCCGAAGCUGAGAGGACAAAGCUCACUGGGGUGACAUGAAAUGGCCGUUCUAGUCUAUGCAAUGGCAGCAUGAACACAGAAAGCUGAAACGGGGGAUCAGUUCUGCAGCCAAGAGACAUUAAAGCUCAAAGCACAGGAAAAGAGAGUGGAGGGGCUGCUGCCCCAGGAAGGCUGGGCCCACCCCUCCUCACAGGCACCCUGAUGCCUGUUCAGCUUGGCUCUCUGGAUGACAGGCAGAAGCCCCAGUUGCUUCUCUUCUCCACGGUGAUUUCUGCAUACUUUAUCCAAACCCCCUCCCCACCGCUGUUCAGUUUCUGGCUCCUCUUCCUGCCCGUGCUCUGAGGCCAGCUGGGGGCCUCCCAGGUGACUCCUGCUGCUGCUGUCACUGGACCCUGACGCUGUGCCGCACCCGAAUUCCUCCGAAUGGAGCCUUGGCCAGAGCAAGGCGUGCCGUGUAGAGGAGCGGAUCUGAGCCUGGCAGGAGAUCGCUAAAACCUUUGCCCUUCACACAAACGCGGAAGCACGGGGCGGGUGCUGAAGAGCCAAGCAAGUGUCCCCCAUUUCCUUCCAAGGCAGAGCAGCAGCCCAGGGAGGCCCAGUUUCCAUCGCGGCAGAAGGGCAGAAGAGUGGGGGAGGUCCCAGGACCACAGCCCAGGGGACACUCAGGAUGCGCCAGGAAGGACAUGGCAGACAGGCCCUUUAGGUGGAAAAGCAACCCUCAGCUGCCCAGAGAGCGGCCCCUCCAGGCCCUCCCCGCCGUCUGCAAAGCUCUUCAGCUGGGAGAGGAGGAAAGGGUUUGUUCUUGACCUCCUUCCUUUCCUUUCUUCUCCACUGUCCACCAGAGAGCAGGAAGACAGGCUGAUGCUCUUGUUAAAGAUGAAGGCAUAAUUCACAUGCCAUAAAAUUCACCAUUUUAACCAU